CUAUCAUGCAGUCGAGCGAACUGAUUAGAAGCUUGCUUCUAUGACGUUAGCGGCGGACGGGUGAGUAACACGUGGGCAACCUGCCUGUAAGACUGGGAUAACUUCGGGAAACCGAAGCUAAUACCGGAUAGGAUCUUCUCCUUCAUGGGAGAUGAUUGAAAGAUGGUUUCGGCUAUCACUUACAGAUGGGCCCGCGGUGCAUUAGCUAGUUGGUGAGGUAACGGCUCACCAAGGCAACGAUGCAUAGCCGACCUGAGAGGGUGAUCGGCCACACUGGGACUGAGACACGGCCCAGACUCCUACGGGAGGCAGCAGUAGGGAAUCUUCCGCAAUGGACGAAAGUCUGACGGAGCAACGCCGCGUGAGUGAUGAAGGCUUUCGGGUCGUAAAACUCUGUUGUUAGGGAAGAACAAGUAUGAGAGUAACUGCUCGUACCUUGACGGUACCUAACCAGAAAGCCACGGCUAACUACGUGCCAGCAGCCGCGGUAAUACGUAGGUGGCAAGCGUUAUCCGGAAUUAUUGGGCGUAAAGCGCGCGCAGGCGGUUUCUUAAGUCUGAUGUGAAAGCCCACGGCUCAACCGUGGAGGGUCAUUGGAAACAGGGGAACUUGAGUGCAGAAGAGAAAAGCGGAAUUCCACGUGUAGCGGUGAAAUGCGUAGAGAUGUGGAGGAACACCAGUGGCGAAGGCGGCUUUUUGGUCUGUAACUGACGCUGAGGCGCGAAAGCGUGGGGAGCAAACAGGAUUAGAUACCCUGGUAGUCCACGCCGUAAACGAUGAGUGCUAAGUGUUAGAGGGUUUCCGCCCUUUUGUGCUGCAGCUAACGCAUUAAGCACUCCGCCUGGGGAGUACGGUCGCAAGACUGAAACUCAAAGGAAUUGACGGGGGCCCGCACAAGCGUGGAGCAUGUGGUUUAAUUCGAAGCAACGCGAAGAACCUUACCAGGUCUUGACAUCCUCUGACAACUCUAGAGAUAGACGUUCCCUUCGGGGAC
rnacentral:rRNA from 1 species